GUGGUGUGUUGUUGUUUUUUUCCCCCUCCCGGAGCCCUGCUACCUUUCCGGGCAGGGCGCGGGGCUUGGGCACAAGCUCGGCCGGCGCGGCCGCGGGGAGCCAGGAGGGCGGGGAGCGGCCUGCGGGGCACCUGCGCGGCUCUGCCGGCGUGAGCCGGCCCAGGCUGCGGGCGGCUCGCCCGCCCUGCCAAGCGCCUGCACGUGAGCGUAAAGUUGGUUUCGCCACUCAAUUUUGGGAAGCUCUUCUCUCCGUAACACUCGCGGGGGCUCUGCACGCCGCUUGGGCCUCGGCGGGUGUCCCGGCCCCAGCGGCGUGGGGGGUGCCGGGCGGCCCCGGGCGUGGGGCGCGGCGCUCGGCUGGCCCUGCUGCCCGGCGACGGGCCCGGGCGCCCGGCCAGGGCCGAGGGGAGGCGGCCCCACCGAGGAGGCCCGCGGCCGCAGCGGCGGGUCGUGCCGCCCUUCGGUUUGCUUCCCCGGAGUUCUCCACAGGAGCGCCUGCCGAGGGAGCGGCACCCGAUCUACUCGCACCGAAACGUGAGGUCGCCAGGAGCCUCCGAAGGCGCCGCCGCCCUGUGAGGAGGCCGCGGGGCUGCGGCCCGGAGACCCGCGGCGCUCGGGGGAGGUUGUCCCUCCCGCUUCCUGGGCCUCAGGUGGCCACUUCAAGCGUGAUUUUGGUAUUUUUUGUGUAGAUUUUUUUUUUUUUUCCCCUCCAGUACCAAGCACUUUGGACACUUUGAAGGCUGUACGACAACCUGCCACAGGGCGUUUACGAGGUAGAAGUGAGGGUACGCAGCGCGUGUGCCAGGGCAAGGGCUGAGGGUGCGAAGGAUGCCUGCGGGUGUCAAGCCUCCUGAGGUGUCCUUGGCCCACCCUGGAGAGCAGAGGGACACCCCGCUUCUGGGGGAAUGGUCCCUAGUGCCGGCUCUGCCCUAAGCUAUGCCAAGGAUUCAGCUUAACCUUCGGCCUAAUGAGUGAGCAGGAUUUUCAGACUCACCUUCUGACUUUGUUUUCAUUAGCGGGACAGAUGUAGCAGUUGUACAUCUUGCGGUGUUUAAUUUGCUAUAGCAUGGGUUUGUUGUUUGGGGUUGUUUUUUGUUUAUUUUUGUAAUAAGGUAAUAUCAUUUGUGUUCCAGUGUAUUGAGAUUGUGGGAAGCACAAAUCAAGUGCAGGCUGACACAUUUUAAAAUACUAGUGUUUGCCAGAGUAUCCUUGUUGAAUUCUAAUACAGGUAAAUAGAGUUGUUCUUAGCCACCCUGUUCUUGAUAAUUUGAGCUGAAAAAUUAUUCUACACUCUCAGUCCAAAUAUAUCCUGUGAUGAUACACACUAAAUAAAGAAUAAACUCUCAAGAGAGAGAUAACAAGUCAUGAGCCUUCAAUGCAAUAUGAAAUAGAAGGUGAAAUAUUUCAGAGAGGGUAUUUAUUACAUGCUACAUAAGCUGAUCUGGCAUCACAAACGUGGGCAUGGUAUAAACAUGGAAAUAUGAUAGUCAAGAGGGAGUUAUGGAGAGAAAUGUGGUCUGGUGGUGAAUUUCUUAGAAAUGCAAGUAUGUAUGUUGCCUUUUGACUGCUCCCACAGUUAAAUUGUAAAUGCAAAACAUACCACACUUUCUAGAACUAUUCAUUAAAAAGAAGCACUGCUAGGUUCAAAUGUUUUAUUAAGUAAACGUUUGUUCCUGUUCUUCAUUAAGGUACAAAUUAGUAAAAAUUAGUGCAUGUUUGAAUGUACAUUUUAUCUGUAAUGGAAAAAUGCUGCCCUUGGAAACCACAUCUUUGCAUACAAAUUGUAUAAUUCUGCUUAUGUGCUUAUUUACGAGCAUGUUUGUACAUACAAGAAAUGCUCAUGUAGAUUUCGUGGAUGCAGUGCUGAUUCUGAUGAAAAGUUUGUCCCAGCUCUCUCAGUUACAGGAUGAAUUAGCAAAAGCUGCUUGGCAUUGUGAGAAAUUAAGAAAAGUAAAAAUAAUCAGUUUUUACAAGACUAGUAAUCACGGGGAGGGGGGGUGAAAAAAAGGACUGUUUCUAUGAGACAGCAAUAUAUAGAAAACUGGAGUUCUUGGUUAGAAAUGCUUCUAUUACAGGCACAGACCUUUCCUUCAGUGAUUUAUUUUACAGUGAACCUCCACUCCUGUGGUGAGACUGUGCUCUCUGCUUUUUAUAAUGGCUUGUUAGAGAACAUCUGGAUCUGGAGUGGAACAGAAUAUUUUUGAACCUUUCCUGCUCUCAAGAAAUAUCCAUAAAAUCUACUGGCAACAAAAUGGCAGAGGCUGGAAGGACCCUCUGGAGAUCGUCUAGUCCACCUCCCAGCUUGGAGAAGGGUUAUUUUGAACAGCUGGAUUUUGAAUAUCUCCAAGGAUGAAAACUUCACACCUUCUCUGGGCAGCCCAUGCUAGGGUUUGACUGCCCUCACAGUAGAAAAAAAAGUUUUUUCUGAUGUUUUAAAAAUAAGUAUUUUCUUGCAUAUGAGAGACUUUCUUAUGUUUAAGCUUAUGUCAAACCUACAGAUGUGUCUGUUUGUAAAUCUUAAAAGUUUGUAUGUUUUCUCUGUGUUUAGGUUUUUGUUCCUAAACAUUUCAAGAUAAAAUGAAGGAAGUUCAAAUGCCACAACACAUACAAGGGGACUCACUGGAUAUCUGGGUUUGCUGCCAUGCACAUUUUAUUGAGAACUGUAUUGAGAGAAGAAUAAAACACCUGCAAACAUCCAAGCAGGUGAUCGAUUUUAGAUAAUGAAAGUGAUUCUUUGAACAUGUUUUGUCCAAAUAAAGACCAAGGGAGUAGAA